AUGACUUUCUGGACUAUAGAGCCCUACAGUAAUCGCAUCGUAAGCCAAUAAACUUUGAAUCCGGUUGUACUACAAACCGAAUACGUUGUGUUCAACUGCUAGUAUAGGAUACCCUCUCUUCGAGACUUCAUACACACCCCUUUUCUAUUGAUCAUUUGGUUGCUUACAACGAUGUCAACUGAGAUCAAGUGCUGAAGUUUGUGUCUUUCUGGGUUACAAUCUUGUCUCUUGGUCUUCUAAGCGUUAGCAUAUCGUCUCGAGAUCAAGUGCUAAAGCUGAAUAUCGUGAUGUUGCCAACGCUUUUGCCGAAGCGGUUUGCAUUUGUAAUCUUCUUCUUAAGUUACAUUGUUUAGUGUCUUGAGCCACUCUCGUGUUUUGUGAUAAUGUCAACGUUGUAUAUUUAGCGCCUAACCCUGUUAAGCACCAACACACCAAACAUGUGGAAUAAGAUAUACCCUUCUUAAGGGAACGUGCUGCCAUUGGUCAAGUGCGUGUGUUACAUGAACCCUCAGCUCACUAGUUUGCAGAUAUCUUCACCAAAGGCUAACUAUGAUAGUUGUUUAUGGAUUUUCAAGAUAUCUUAACAUUCAGGAACCCCCACUCAGACUGCAGGUGGUAUGUUAGCUAAAUUAAAUAAGCUUAUGGUUAUUUUACAAUGUUUAUUCCUGUAGGGUGGUUUGUGUAAUUAUGUAACCUUAAUUCUUGUACUCUCUAAUUAUAAAUACCGGUGAAUGCAAAGCUUAAAUAAUUC
rnacentral:lncRNA from 1 species